GCCGUAAUAGCUCAGCUGGUAGAGCAACUGACUUGUAAUCAGUAGGUCCAGGGUUCGAACCCUUGUUACGGCACCA
rnacentral:tRNA from 1 species